CACAAAGUCCCCUUGAAAAGCUUAUGAGGAGACACUGCUAAGGGCUCCGGGAGGACUGGAGGACAUGCCCCAGAGAGGUCCUGCUUUUCAGCCCAAGAUUGAAGACUAAGAUUGAAGAAGACAUGGAAAUCAGUUGAGAGUUGGACAUGCAACAUAAGAAAUAAUCCAUUGUGAAUAGAAUGCCUUCAGGACUCCCAUCUCCCUGCAGAGUGAACUUAACUUCUAUGAACACGACGACAGCCCAUGGCCAGACUCCCCUACCUGGAGUCCACACCCCAACUCCCUGUUUUCACCAAGAGAGAAAAAGAAAGCCUCUUCUUCACCAAGUGAAUGUUGGAAGAAUUUCUGCAGUAAGCUGUAGCUGUCUGCCCACCAGGAAGACAGUCUUCUAUAUUAGCAUUAACCUAUGAAUAAACAGCACUUGACAUUGAAAAUUGCCACAUUAAGUACCCAGCUCCUCUGCCCAAUUACAGCAGCCCACAGAGUUCUUCCAAAUUGUCACCUAGGAAGAAUAUGACAGCAAACAAUGCUUUAAAAGUAAGUAAUCUGCUCUAUAAUUAUUUUAGCGGCUGCAACUGCCAACCAGCAGGAUCACUUAUGAAAAAGGACGCAGUCGCUCCUUAUUAAAAAUGCAUGAAUAUACAGUCUCUUGAUUGUAGAAAUAAUCAGCAGACUAUCUAAUGUAAGAAGACGUAGACACAGAAGAAUUAAUUAGGGUGAAAUUGAUUAAGAAGAAGAGGGUAAAAAUCUAUCUGUGAUGAUUCAAGCUCCGAUUAAACUCAAGCAUUAAUUCUCACAUUCUUUUCAAAUUUAAGACUCAUCUAAAUGUUCCACAUUAAUAUUCCAACAUACCUCACCCUUCCUUUUCCAAAUAGAAAUGCAGGCGUUUCUAAUGAUAUCUAAAGACUAUGUUCUUGUUGACUAGAAAACCCCCGUCUUAAGGAUUUGGGAAGGUUAGAGUUUUCAUUAUUAUUUUAAAUAAAAGACAGCAUGGCAGGAGACUGGGAGAGUCGAAAUGCCCACAUUCAUUCUGGUCUGAAGCACUUAAAACGUCCAUUAGAUUUCUCAAAAACUAAAGGAAGGGUGCAACAC